AUGUCAUCAGAUAUAUAAAUUCAAAACAACACUGUCGAAUCACCCCCUCUUAUUAUAAGGCUCCCUUCUAUUAAUUCGAUUCUCUACCAGAGUUGCAAUAUUUUUUCUUAAGUUCCAACGUUUCCCAUUUAAUUCCACAUCAAAGCUCUUCUUAACAAUCCAUAUCCACGUAGGUUUCUGACACAAAGACUUAAGGCAUAAUAUUAGUGCAUAUGGGGAGACACUCUUGCUGCUACAAGCAGAAGCUUCGUAAAGGCCUCUGGUCUCCGGAGGAAGACGAGAAGCUUUUGAAUUACAUCACCAAACAUGGCCAUGGAUGUUGGAGUUCCGUUCCAAAACUAGCUGGUCUUCAGAGGUGUGGCAAGAGCUGCAGAUUAAGGUGGAUAAAUUAUCUCAGGCCUGAUUUGAAGAGAGGAGCAUUCUCACAGCAAGAAGAGAAUUCCAUUGUUGAACUUCAUGCAGUCCUUGGCAACAGGUGGUCACAGAUUGCAGCUCAGUUACCAGGAAGAACUGAUAAUGAGAUAAAGAAUCUAUGGAAUUCCUGUCUGAAGAAGAAGCUUAGGCAAAGAGGCAUUGACCCAAACACACACCAACCCCUCUCUGAGAUUGAGAAUGACAAGGACAAGCCUCUCACAGCUGACAAAAGCAACCAGAAAGCCUCCAAUGAGGUGAUGAGUCUUGUUGAGCCACCAAAACCAAAGCCAAUAGCUACUACUGCAACUACUUCUAUGCCUAUGGAUAGACAUCCCCUUGAAGUUUCUUCCACCUCCAAGAUCAGCAGUGGCAACAACAACAGCACCCUAGACAGGUUUGACAGCUCCAUCACUAGUUCUGAUAUGAUGGGAAUGGGAUAUUUUCCUUUCCAGCACCUCAACUAUGGACCAAACAUGGGACUCACUACUACUCCCAACAACACCCCACUUUGCUUCAUACCAAGUUCCACUUCUUCUCAAAUGAUGUCAGAGCUGAAUUCCACCAUGUUCCAUUCUAUGUUUCCAACACAUGUAAAACCCACUGUUAGUCUUCACUCUAACAACAACAACAACCCUUCUUCAAUAUCCUCUGAUGGUGUUCAGAACUGGGAAGUAGGUACCAUCAGUAACAACAACAACAACAAUGCAAGCAAAAGCAAUGGGAGCAGUAGCUGCAGCAUCCAAUUACAAAGCAGCAGCACAAUAACAUGGGGGCUGCAGCAAGCAGAAUCUGCCACCAAGGCAGAACAAGAAGACAUUAAAUGGUCUGAAUAUCUCAACAACACCCCUUUCUAUCUGGGAACCACGCCAGUGCAGCAUCAAACCACAAACUCUCUCUACAGUAGUGAUGAGGUCAAGCCAGAAACAACAGGCUUCAUAGCAGACGAAUCAAGUACCAUGAGUUGGCACCACAGCCAGCAUAAUUUUCAACCUUCGGAGAUAUAUACCAAAGAUCUGCAGAGAUUUUCAGUGGCUUUUGGACAAACCCUGUAGUAGUUUUCAGGCACUGAACACGUGGAAACCUCAACCAAAGAGAGAGGAGAGCAAGAUGCCGACAACUCCAAUGUGAAGUAGGUCAGAAAUUUGUCGUGAGUUCUGACCGCAGAUUUCCAUUAAGGUGAUGGAGCGGGCGUGUGAGUACACAACACAACAUAGUAUGAUGAUAUUUUGUAUGUCUGGAAAUUGUUACUACACAGUCAGCUUUUCACUUUUGAUCCUUUUUCAAAUUGAGAAUCCAGUGGAAGUUAUUUUUUGUGUGCGCGUCGCGGUACAUCGUUUUUCUUUAAUGGGUGUCUAUCACUGUCUCAUACAGAUAAAGAGAGUGUUUUCACUUGUUGGACAAACUUGGCUCCCUUCACUUUCACCUUAAUGAGUGUAGAUAAAAAAAUAUUAUAGAGCAGUCUAGUUUUCAUUUCA